AAAUUGGAGUUUAUGGUUUUGCAUUGAAAGUUCCUGAAAAGUCUAUCUUGUCCGUAUCUUGCUGUUACCUUCUGUUAAUUGAUUAUGUUGUGUAUAUGAUUUGCACACCGAAUUUCUGUUAACAGUUGAAAUUUUUAAUUAAGAUUGCUCCGUGAUUUGUAUAUGUUUACCAAUUCCCAUUUACUCUAAAGGUAAAAGUAAUUUAUGAACAAUAGAGCUAGACCACCUCCCCACCCAUUGGUGCAUUAUGUGCAAGACAGCUUCUGAAAGAAUAGACCAUAAACUACCUGCUGCUUCACUGUCCAGUGGCCUCACUUUUAUGGUCUCAAGUGUUCAGGGAGGCAAAUCUUGGGAUGACCAGCCUCCUUUAAUGUGUUAUAUAGUGAGAGGGGUGGAUAGGAAUAGAAGGGUCUUUGAGCAUGCAAAGGGUGAAGAGGUGGAGCAUUUAGGGUGAAAGGGUUUGUGUUUGGCAUCUUUAUGAGAUCUGCUUCGGAAUUUAGGUAGUAUUCUGUAUUUAUAAUCUUGUUGGACUGUAAUGCAGCUGUGUAGAAAUACUAUAGUUUUAGUUCUUUUGUUUGGUUUAGUUCUUAGAUGAAGCAGAAUAAUUGUUUCAGGGUCUUUUGUAUUUUUCUCAGUGAACUCCUUGUUCACUCUCUCUAAUUUUUCUUAAUUUUUUCUCACCAAAAAAAAAAAAAAAAGUGUUCCGGUUUCAAAUGAAUUUCAUUUCUUAUGUGUUUGUGUAUGUGUGUGUGUGUGGAUCGAGAUGUGCAAUAUGUAGUUAUUUUGAUGGAAAGUUGUUUGGCAUGGUCUUCCUUGAAAAGCGUACUUUAAGUACUAGCCUGUUUCUUCUUCGUAUGAUUUCCUUUCCCCAUGUUCUAUACGUGCUUUCUGAUCGUCCUUUUUACUGGUCUUUGUAUAGAGAUUGGGGUCUCUCACAGACAUCUUGGGUUAUCGUUUAUGUUAGAGAGAUUUCCUCUCAGCAUUCACAACUGAUUUAGUAACUGAUGUAACAGUUUUGAUAUUCUGCAUCUAUAGUCUUUAAUGCUCUAUAUAGACUUUUGUAAUUAUAGCUUCUGUAUAGCCUAUAUAUCUGUACAUUGUAAACACAAUUGAAUCAAUGAAAACCAAUUUCUACA